CGGCGAGGGCUAUACGACCAGCUCCCUCUCAACCCCCCCAGGGCGGAAACGCAGCAAGGGUAGGAGGUUGUAGCGGUGCGAUAUAGUUUCUCGCCUUUU
rnacentral:SRP_RNA from 1 species